GUAAACAUAGUUUAGCAAAACACUAGAUUGUGAUUCUAGAGUCAGGAGUUAAACCCUCCCUGUUUACC
rnacentral:tRNA from 3 species